ACUACGGGUUUUCAUUAGGGCAAGGGACCACUCUGGAGCCAAUGUUAACCAAGAGGUUGAUGGGAGGUUAUAUCAGCGACGAAGAAGCAGUUAUAGUGAACCGGAGAGGUUGCGAAAGAGUCGCUGUCGAGCAAAAGUAGAGACACGCUCAACUUCCCUUGAAAGGUGAGAACCAGCACACUUCUCAGAAAACCAGGUCAGCCAAGUUUUUUGUAGAACAAAUGGCAGAACAGAGCAGUAGUCCAUUGUUUUUAUCAAAUGUUAUCCAAAAGUCAAGUAUCUGUGUGAUAUUUGCAAUAUUUUUGAAGGUUGUUAAGUCAAGGGUGUGGCCAGUAGUUGGUGAUUAUACCUACAAACAACAUGUCACAUUUUAACAUGUAAUAUGUUACUUUUUGUUACCCUACUUUAUCGUUUUUAGAUAUAUAAAACUAUGGACCUUUAAAUAAUAUUUUUGUUCUAGAUCAUAUCAUAUUUUUAUCUAUCCAUCUGACAUGGUUUUUUAGGAGCUUCUUCCGACGGCAAAGCUCUGCCAGAUGUCUCUUCAUGAUACAGCGACUGAUGCUUAACACUUCUGAGAGGCAACUUGAAACCAGGUAAUAAAAGGUAAAAACUGUUUUGUUUUACUUAAGACAACAUAGAUUUUAGACUUUUUCUUUUUUAGCCUGAGAUCAAAAAUAUGCGCAGCUGCAUUCAGGAUUUUUAUUCUUUGUUCCCAUUGCAGCCAGAAAACAAUAUCAAUGGAGCUGACUGGGCACCUUUCCAAGGGAGAGAUUAAGGUUUAGGAAGUGGAACAGGCAUGGCUGAUAGAUGACAUGGCUAAAAUUAACACACUACCCACUGGAUGAGGAGAAUAAAUAGCUGACAGGAAGGACCAACACUUUAAAAGCAUGUACCCUUAAAGUCACAUAAUAUAACUGUCAGCACAACCAUUGUCACACUAAAACUUCCUGUUCCUGUUAGAGGGCUACAGAUUGGACCCUUUAGCAUUUCCCAAGUUAUCAAAAAUGCUGGAAUAUCUAGAAAGAUUGGAAAUGAAUGAAAUUAUUUCAUUUUAUUCAAUUUUAGAAAGUUUAUGUUUUGUAGAUGGCCAAGUUUAGAAAUACCUGCAACUUAAAGUAAAAAAAAUACUGCAUCUUAAAGUAGUAGGUUAACUUAACAUAAAGUGUUGCACUUAAUAGCGUAAAGCUCAACGUGAAAAAUAUACUUCUUAGUCUUUUUCUAGUUAUUUUGCAAGAGAUGCACAGGACAUCUUCAUCCUAGAGGAGCAGAUAGACCUCAAUCCUCUGAUCAAUACCCUCUACUUCAACCGGUCUGCACGGAGCAAACAUGCUUUGAUCCCUCGGAUCCCUUACAUUUCCCAUAUAGCUCGAGGGUGAAAGCUGAUUCUUUUAGCAAUGCUCUUCUUUCUCAAUCCUGUAAGGUGAAGCUGUGGGCUCUGUGUUCUUGGGCUCCAGUGGGGAAUUAGGACAUCACGAGCUACAAGUGCUUUAGGGAAGAAAAUUUACAGCCACAUGAAAUGCUGGAAAUCUACACUUGCAACUGGAGAAUAAUGGAAAAUUUAAGGCAUAAAAAUAGAGAGCUUAGUUUGUGCUUCAGAGGCUCAAUGAAGCCUUUGAACUCACUGUAAAACUAAAAGGUUUAGGAGAUCAGUGUGACCGGACUGCAGUAGAAAAAAUAUUCUCAAAACAUAGUUGACAUCCACUUCAGCACUUGAGUACAAACUUGCAGUUAUAAUGUUAGGCUUAAACAUUUUCCUCCGUGUUUUUAAAAAUGAUGAAUUAUUAAUCAAAGCACUAGUUCAGUGUUAACAUUGCCGUGUAUCUCUAAUAUAAAUAGGUGUGGUGGUGAAAUGACCAGCAAACUUUAUUUGGCUUUCGGUAGCUGAGACAAAGCUUUUGUUUCAGUUUAGUUUAUAAAGGGCACUUUAUGCUUCUGAAAUGUGAACAGACCUAAUAGGGACAGAUGAGCUCAUAAAAGGGACAGAACCAGGCUUGUUCCUCUUGUCGCCCUGCCCGGACGCUGCUUCCUGUAUUGUUUGCAUAGAUUCAAAUAUCAUUUUUGUUACGCUUAGCUUUCUUCAGACUAAUUUUGUAUAUUGACACUGUGAAUACAUUCACCUAGUCUGUAUAUAGAUUUAUAGUUCGUAUCUAAUAAUAUACUCCGUCUGUUUUUAUCUCUUUCCACAGACCAUUGCGUGAAUUUGUCGUAUCGUCCGCAGUCGGUAGGAAUAGCAGUUGUAGUGUUCACAAGGUACCAUACUGUAGUUCAGGUAAAGUGUCGUGUCUAAUGGAAUAUUAACAGAUUGUCUGGAGUCGUUUCAUAAGGUAAACAGAAUGAUUUUAAUGGUUAUUGUUUUUAACUUUCUCUUUUUAUCCUCCUGCAGUGCCAAUGUCUCAUUUAUAUUAGAAAUGAAGAAACAUCUGUUCGAGGUAUGUGAACAAUCACACAAUCUGCAACCCGAAUUCUUAAAAUAAACUCAGCUAAUGUUUUACUGAAUCAAAGCAGACUAUUUAUAAAUCGGGAAUCGCAGUCCUUUUAAGGACAUCUAACGUAGUACCCAUGUUUAGAUCUUAUAUUUUAAAGUGUAAUCACUUUAAAGUAUAAGCUUACAUUCUUUUUCACAAUAUACAUGAAACGGUUAACAGCACAGUGCCCUGUGUGUCCUUUAGGGCAGCGCUGAGGUUGAGAGCACUGAAAGAGGAAGUAUAUGUUGUAGGGCUAUUCACGGUCUUGAUGUGUCAGAGUCAGGAUGUGAUGGUCAGUCACUUUGCACUACAUAUAUUUUUCCUUCUCUAAUCUGGACCUUGGCGACUGAAUGCGGAACCAUAUGCAUUCUACAACCUGUACAAUGAAUCUACAGUAAAUCACCAUAUUAGGUACAUACAGCAUAGCCACACAGUGUUAAACAGGGUCCUGUUUGUUUCAGAGAUAAGUCAGAUUCUUCCUUAGACAGCUUUAAAAAGCCAAAGGACCAUUUUAGUGCUUAUGCAACAGAUACACACUCUGGUGAUGUGCCUUUAAAACCAGUGGCUUGUCAGGUGAUCGAGGAGGCUCAGUCAGUUCUGCCUCACAGACAGAGAAGCCAGAGUGUGUCUCUAGCCGAGAGCAGAGAGGAGAGUGCCAGAGAGAAGGGCAGCGGAAUGAGAGAGACCCAAUUAUAAGGGACAUAGGGGGAAAUGGGGACACAGCAACGUCACAGAGUGGGGGAGAGGGAGCCUUGGUGGUAGGGUCCCUUUAACUGCAGUCUGCUCAUGCUCACUUGCCUUCUCUGGCACCUAGCAAGUGUGUUUCUGUCUCAGCUUGAUCAAGAGGCUGCGUUGUGUAGCCACAACAGUGGUACAAAAGCACAGAGAAUUAAGUGCUGCGUCACACUCAGGAAGAGGAAUUGCGUGGCUAAGCGCGCGUGUGCACAGCUGUGCGUGUGUGUGCGUGAACGCGCACGUACAUAUGCAUUUGUGUGGGGUCUAUUCUGUUUCUGUGUAUAUGUGUUAGCUCGAAGUAGCAAUCUAAUGGCAGUUCUGCUGUUGCAACAAGAUGAAAAUAAAGAGUGCGUGUGUUUUAAGAGCCAAGCAGAGGGAGAUACAGAGAGGGAGGGAGUGCAAGCCAGAGAGUGAGAAAGAGAGAGAGAUUUUGGAUUAGUUGCUACGUCACUUUUUCAUGUCGGGAGAAACAGAAGCUGAGAUAACAGAAGCCCAGAGUCAUCGUCAGUCGGUUUCCACCUGGAGUGAACACAGUGGUUUCGGAUAACCUCGCCUUUCUCCUCCUCUUCCUCUUCCUCCUUGGUAGUUUUGAUCUGCUCUGCCUGUCGCUGCUUUCUGUGUGUGUGUGUGUGAGCGUGUGUGUUUGUGUGCGCGCUGUGUAGUUCCUGUGAGCUGAUACCGGAGUUUCAACAUGGAUGCUGAAGAUGUGACAUAGUUUCACUAGGUCUUGUUAUGAUAGCAGGGUAAGGUGUGCGUAGGGUGGGCAGAGGUGCGACAAAAGGGUUAACAAAAGAAUAUUCUGGAGAGUUCUUAAUAUCACGCCGAAGCCCAGUCAGGAAUGUUUUGCCGAGAAUUAUCGAGGCAUUCGAACAACGCUUCUUUUUUCCUUCUUCUUCUUUUUGUCAACAUCACCUCAAGAAAUCCGGAUGGCUACAUUAGUGGAAAUAGGUGAAUAUAGUGGUUGCGUGGCGCUGUCUGACCUAUUAUGAAACAGAGUAUUACAUGUGUAAUACACCAGCAUUUACUUGUGUGUACAGAUCCAGCAACGUGGACAGCAUAGAAAAUGAAAUGAAAUUGCAGAAUAAGUUUGUUGUUAAAUUUAGGCACACAAAUGACAUUAUUUUUUAUUGUUUUGUCACCACGCAUAUGAAGUACAUGUGUACGUAUACGCAUAUUCACAUUGUUGACUGUAGGCCUACUUUUUGUGGUUAGCUUACGAUGAAGCUGAAGCAAAGAGUGAGCAUCCAGGAAGAGAUGUAUGUAUGUGUGAUGGCAGAGACUGUUGAGGAUCCAGCUGUAUCAGAUAACAGCAUGUGGCUAGUGGCACUUUUAUCAUGUGAUUUGUUUUGUUUUUUUACCCUCAAGGGCUACUGGGAUCUGGCAAAACCCUUCCCAGGACACAUUUGUUUCUGCGUAGUUAGGAGAGAUCGGGAUGAUGACGCAGUCAUUUAUGGGCUGGACUUCUCUUUAAUCAGUGCACAGCUCGUAUCUCUCCAUUUCUGUCCGUCUGUUUAUCCGUCUCCUGUUCUCGGAGAAAGGGACAGGCGGAAAGAGCUAAAUGUCAUGGCUCAGGUUCAGAGAGAGAGAGAGAGACACUGAUAAAAGAAGGAUAGAUGAGACGAGAGGGAAGUUGUUUACCUUGUUCUCUUGGUGACUCUGCCUUGGCUUCUCUCCAGUUCACAUGCAGUGGACUUCCUAAAGCUGCUGCAUCACAGGCCAUCGUGCCAAAGCUGAAUUCUCAUUGGAUGGGAGGAGCUCCCCUGGCUCCACGAGCUUCACAGCAGUACUUUAUUGGUUUUUAGCAAGCAAGUAGCUGGAGUUCAAUACCUAACUGAUUGGGGAGGGCUCUUUUUUUUUUUUGUUUUGUUUUGUUUUGCUGUUGCAGAAACACUUUUCCAUGGAUACAACCUUAGCUUAUAUGUUUAUAUGAUUUUGUAUUGUUCCAAAGAGUUAGGAAAGUGGCAGUUGAUAAAUCAGUUGUUUAAAGCUGCGUUUUUACAAGUAGUUCUUUUGUUACGUAACGAUCAAAACAGUAAUGACAUUUCUGACUGUCCCUGUCUCUUAUGGGCCUUGUUUGCACCGUGUCUUACAGGUUAUAUGAAUUUCAGAUCUUUAAAAACUUAUAACAUGUACACAUUUAUUAGAAGGUACUGGGAUCCAUAGAAGUUUCUCAUUUCAUUUCAUAUAAAUUAAUAUUCUUUUCAUAUCUUUUGUUAAGGCAUGAACAUUAUUAACGUGUGAAACGACAGAGGUCCAUUUAAAUAUGUUUAUUUGAUAGCUGUUAUAUUUAUUCUGUGUUCUCCUUAUCCUUGCUUCUAGAUAUGUUUUCGUAUUUUUGCCUCCGAGGUGCUUUGCACAGAGUCUCUAGGCUGUACCAGAUUUAAUUAGAAUUUAUGAACUAGAGGUACAUCAAAGGAAUUAUGUCUUUUUUUUUUCCUCAGGUAUUCAAACCACAUUACAUAUUCACUUACAGGACCUUGCUCAUUUAGAAUGACAUAUAUUUUACUUUCUUGAAAAUCAAAGGAAACUGUAGGACCUGUGAAAUAAAAUGUUAAACGAGGCCUUGUCGUUUACUAUGGACUGAGCUGAUCAGUAUUUUGUGCAUAGCGCUCUCCCUGGCGCUCAGAUACCUGAGUACUUAUAUGCUGCAGAUGGCAACUUCAGCAAUUAUAUAAAUCCUCAGAGGAAAGCGGUUUUCUGGUCCUUUGUGCUGGAAGUCCAGUGUUCACACUAUGCUACAUUUCUGAAGUGAUGCAAGAGCGCGUGUGGCUGUUCAGUGGUCUGCAUUGCAGCUCCUGCCUCUGGAGUCAGUGUCGCGUCUGUGCCUCGCUCUCUAUUCUAAACCUGCUGAUGCUGUAAAAAGCUUUUUACUCUCACGGCUUUUUAAAAAUGUUCCCCUUGUAAAGAUGAUUAUGAAGAACAUGAUUUCUAGCAUCACCACUAAAGGUUCAGUUCCAGCUAUGUUAAAAAUAUUGAGAAGGGUCGUGGUGUGUCGUGCCCCCUGUCCAUCCACACAAGGCAUAAUGUAGCACUGUCAGAUACAAAAAAUACCGUGUAUUUGUUCACUGCAUAAAAUUGACCGAUCAUACUUGUUUUGACAAGUACAGCUCUAAGCAAUAAUGUUACUUAUCAUGCAUGUUUCACUGCAGUUUUCUCCCAGCAUUUUAAUCCCAGAGAAGUAAGGACUGGUAUUUAUCGUCGUUAUUCGCGAGGUGCUUCACAGUUCCACUGUGAAUCUGUCGAUGACUGCUCUCUGAAGGCCUCCUGUCCCUUUAAAUCUUUUAUAAGCAUUACACAACAGGUCCAGUGGCACACAAGCAACAAACAACCCGAAAAAGAAAGCUCACAGGGUUGGGUCGAGGCAGCCAGGGGAAGGAACCAGACACCUACAGACAGACAGGCCCUCUGAUCAGAGCCGUCACUGUGGCUACCACGCAAACACACUCGCACACAUAGCCGUAUUCUUCCUCACACACAACCAACCGCAACAAACAAACAAAAUGGUUUUGCUUGGUCAGUCUGAAGCCUGAUAAGGGCUCGUAAAUGCCGUGGGGAUUUUGUCCUUCCUCCCAUUGUGAAAAUCAAAGUUGAUAUUUUGAGGCUCAUGCUAGGGCUCCCUGAUUUGGUCUUUAAUCAGUUUAAAGACUAAGUAGUAUUUGUGGGAGUUGUCUUUGUAAAGAUGGAGGAAUUAGGGCAGAGAGUGUUUUCGCAGUUUUAAAGCAAAAUCCAUUUCAUUUGCAUGCAGAGAGCAAAAAUAGAAAAAGAACAAGGAUCGUAGAAAGGAUUGGGUGGUUAUGUACUUUGUUGAGGCACAAAGUCGGUGAACUGGCCACUACCUGUCGCUGCCCCACCCUCCCAGUGUCUCAUAGCCGUGUUUCUGCGUCACAGCUCGCAUUGUCUGCGAUUGACUGCUACUUCCCUGCUUUUCUCUUUUAGUGGCUGGAGAGCAGCAUACAAUCAUCCUCUCUAUUCUUUUGAGCAACCGAGAGAAGAGGAUUUGUCAAGGUCUGUUUGCAUAGAGCUGCAGAUUCUGCUGAAUUUUACACCAAAGAAGACGGCCUUUCAUCAGAGGUUCCCCCUUUGGAAGCUGGUUUCAGAUGGUGGCUUAGAGUAUUGUCAUCUAUCUAGCACCAUUUGAAAUCAGUGUUCUUGGGGCGGGAAGUAAGUUUCAAUGACCAGCUGUGAGGUGUCAAAAGAAGUGCCCGGUGAUAAAGGUACAACAUGGAAAUGUCACCACUGGAAGAUGGAGUACCACUCGCAGAACUACAAACUUCUGGUCUACACUGACGUUUGCCAGCUUCUGCUUUUUGUCCUCUUUCCAAGGUUGACCGAUUUCUUUCGGUGUUCAGAGUCUGCUUCUGUUUCUAGCACCAUUUGAAAUCGGUUACAGUGAAGGACAGAUCUCAUCUUACCUUGAGGAGGAUUUUGCAACGAAGUGGUCCGCUUUUUGGUUGUUUUUUUUUAAAUGGCCUUUGUAGAAUCUAUAGACAUUGAUAUGUUUAUUUUAUUUUAUUUUUUUUAAGAGUCUUUCGGGGUAUACAACUCAAAAGUUUUGGGUCACCCAGAAGAUCCCAGAUUUUGAAUGAAACCUUUAACUUCCAUCCACCCACUUUCUUAACUGCUUAUCCAGUUUAGUCACAGAGAAACGAGAGGGAGUGUGCAACCUGGAUAGUUCACUAUUGCACCACCUGACUAACCAUUCACAUUUACAGUUUCUUUGGAAACACCAAAAGAAUGUCAGCACGGUGGGAUGUUGCAACAUUGGAGAACAUUAAAAGCCUCACACAAAAAAAGUAUUAGAUAAGCAGGAGGUUCAAACCAGAAAUGGUUUUGCUUUGAGACAACAACGCUGUGGUAUUUAUUGAUGAGAAAUUUCACAACUUGAAGCAAGGAGCCACAAGUUGGAAUUUUUUAAUGGGCACUUCUUACAUACCUUAUUGUCAAGAUGUUUCCACAACAGCUAAGCAGGAUUAUAUUCUCAUGACAGAAUAACAGCUGAAAGCUUCUUUUCGACAUUUUUCUUGCAGUCUGUAGAGCUGUGCCUCAUCAUUGUCCUGUUAUCGUGUUCCCACUUAAAAUUUGUUUCUCAGAAUGACCACACUAAGAUUUUAGUCUUUUAAAAUACUAAGGUACAACAUUGGAACUCUAGAGUAGUGGUGUGCAAUACUGCAUAUUUUGGUAUCGAUCCAAUACCAAGUAAACAAGGGUCAGUAUCGCCGAUACCGAUACUUUUCCAUAAAAAAUGUGGCUGCAUCAUUGAAUUGCUAAAUCUCAAUUAAUUUUCAUGACUUUAACAGUUUUUUGUGAUGUUUCUUUUUUUUAUUGUUAAAUAGUUAAAACCCAGGACAUAAUUAGGACAUUUAUAAUUAAAUAGAAAAUGCUUUAUUAUCAAUUUUUUUUGUAGAAAACUCUUAAAUAAAAAGUGUAUGCAAACCAGUAAACAAAUUAAAAACAGUAGUAGUACUGUUAAGAAACUAUAAUACAAAAAUUACAAUUAAAAUUCUCAACAACAAAACAACUGGUGAAAAUAAUAUGUAAACAACUUAACAACCCCCAAAGCGUCUAAGUUACAUGACGAGACGGCGCAACAUCUAAACACAAGAGGGGGGAGAGGGAGCAAAGCGCGCCUGCUCUGUGCUGACGCAGGAGCAGCAAGUCCAGCGACCUGGCUGUUUCGUCUUUGCCAAAAGCACAGCAUUGCAAACACGAGCGGAACUUAAAGUAAAGAAUUGAUCUCACCAGGCUAGCAUCGAUCCAAGACCGAUGCCGACUUGGUAUCGAUACAGUGGAUAUUUGGAUCGAUCCACCCACCACUACUCUAGAGUGAUUCUAGCUGGCAUAUGCACACCUAUACAGUACUG